rnacentral:tRNA from 1 species
GGAUUGUGGCUUAGUGGUAGAGUGCUUGCCUAGCAUGUGUGAGGCAUUGGGUUCGAUUCUCAGCACCA